CGGCGUGCUUAACACAUGCAAGUCGAACGAAGCACCUCUAAUCGAAGAUUGACGUAGCUUGCUACUGAUUGAUUCACUCUGAGGUGACUGAGUGGCGGACGGGUGAGUAACGCGUGGGUAACCUACCCUAUACAGGGGGAUAACAGUUGGAAACGACUGCUAAUACCGCAUAAGCGCACAGUAUCGCAUGAUACAGUGUGAAAAACUCCGGUGGUAUAGGAUGGACCCGCGUCUGAUUAGCUAGUUGGUGAGGUAACGGCUCACCAAGGCGACGAUCAGUGGCCGAUCUGAGAGGGUGACCGGCCACAUUGGGACUGAGACACGGCCCAAACUCCUACGGGAGGCAGCAGUGGGGAAUAUUGCACAAUGGGCGAAAGCCUGAUGCAGCGAACCGCCGCGUGAGUGAUGAAGUAUUUCGGUAUGUAAAGCUCUAUCAGCAGGGAAGAAUAAUGACGGUACCUGACUAAGAAAGCUCCGGCUAAAUACGUGCCAGCCGCAGC
rnacentral:rRNA from 1 species